GGACUACCGGGGUAUCUAAUCCUGUUCGCUCCCCACGCUGUCGCGCCUCAGUGUCAGUAGUGGUCCAGGAAGUCGCCUUCGCCACUGAUGUUCCUUCCAAUAUCUACGCAUUUCACCGCUACACUGGAAAUUCCACUUCCCUCUACCACACUCUAGUCAACCAGUUUUAAACGCAAUUCCUAGGUUAAGCCCAGGGAUUUCACAUCUAACUUAAUUAACCACCUACGCGCCCUUUACGCCCAGUAAUUCCGAUUAACGCUUGCACCCUCUGUAUUACCGCGGCUGCUGGCAC
rnacentral:rRNA from 1 species